rnacentral:rRNA from 1 species
GAUGAACGCUGGCGGCGUGCCUAAUACAUGCAAGUCGAGCGAACAGACGAGGAGCUUGCUCCUCUGACGUUAGCGGCGGACGGGUGAGUAACACGUGGAUAACCUACCUAUAAGACUGGGAUAACUUCGGGAAACCGGAGCUAAUACCGGAUAAUAUAUUGAACCGCAUGGUUCAAUAGUGAAAGACGGUUUUGCUGUCACUUAUAGAUGGAUCCGCGCCGCAUUAGCUAGUUGGUAAGGUAACGGCUUACCAAGGCGACGAUGCGUAGCCGACCUGAGAGGGUGAUCGGCCACACUGGGACUGAGACACGGUCCAGACUCCAACGGGAGGCAGCAGUAGGGAAUCUUCCGCAAUGGGCGAAAGCCUGACGGAGCAACGCCGCGUGAGUGAUGAAGGUCUUCGGAUCGUAAAACUCUGUUAUUAGGGAAGAACAAAUGUGUAAGUAACUAUGCACGUCUUGACGGUACCUAAUCAGAAAGCCACGGCUAACUACGUA